rnacentral:rRNA from 1 species
GACGAACGCUGGCGGCGUGCCUAAUACAUGCAAGUAGAACGCUGAAGAGAGGAGCUUGCUCUUCUUGGAUGAGUUGCGAACGGGUGAGUAACGCGUAGGUAACCUGCCUUGUAGCGGGGGAUAACUAUUGGAAACGAUAGCUAAUACCGCAUAACAAUGGAUGACACAUGUCAUUUAUUUGAAAGGGGCAAUUGCUCCACUACAAGAUGGACCUGCGUUGUAUUAGCUAGUAGGUGAGGUAAUGGCUCACCUAGGCGACGAUACAUAGCCGACCUGAGAGGGUGAUCGGCCACACUGGGACUGAGACACGGCCCAGACUCCUACGGGAGGCAGCAGUAGGGAAUCUUCGGCAAUGGGGGCAACCCUGACCGAGCAACGCCGCGUGAGUGAAGAAGGUUUUCGGAUCGUAAAGCUCUGUUGUAAGUCAAGAACGGGUGUGAGAGUGGAAAGUUCACACCGUGACGGUAGCUUACCAGAAAGAGACGGCUAACUACGUG